UACGAGGGGGGCGAGCGUUGUUCGGAAUUAUUGGGCGUAAAGGGCGCGUAGGCGGCUCAUGAAGGCUGUGGUGAAAUCCUGGAGCUCAACUCCAGAACUGCCUUCGAUACUGGAAGACUUGAGUCCGGGAGAGGUGAGUGGAACUGCGAGUGUAGAGGUGAAAUUCGUAGAUAUUCGCAAGAACACCAGUGGCGAAGGCGGCUCACUGGCCCGGUACUGACGCUGAGGUGCGAAAGCGUGGGGAGCAAACAGG
rnacentral:rRNA from 1 species